UGAUACGAUCACAAUUAGCCAGAGGGAUUCUAUGCAAGUAGUACUAAAGCUGAUGUCCUUAUUUGGCAAUAGAAAAAAAUGCAAAUUGUUAAAUGGCCGAAGAGAUAAGGUUCUCCGGUGAUUCUCGCUACGGCCAAGAAUCCAUCGAUUGAGUUAGCUUUGGCUGUACAGAGUCAUAGCACAUCUCCUCGUGAGGAAUUAGGAGGGAAGAUGGCGUCGCCAAUCGAAGGUCGUCUGCGCCUGGGCAGCAUCUCCACGCCGUGGGACGGAUGUUGGCCGCCGCCACCGCCGGACGCUGCGCCAUCGCGCCACAUCAGGAGAAGCGGUGUCGGAGCCGAAGGCCGCCGCCGUGCCAAGGUGUGGCGGAGAGAACUGCGCUCCGCAUGCGCGUUGGCCGUCUCUGUUGCCGGGCUGCGUGGCGGGCCGUGGUGCUCCUCCGGAGGGAGGAGCGUUGCUGCCGGGAUGUGGUCGUCGCCGCUGUAGACGGCCGUGCCGAUGGAGGCCGCGGGUGCGGCCUCAACCAUCCACAUCCAGGGGGAAAAGGGAGGAGGAGAGUGGACGAGCGGCCGCCGCUUAGACCUUCCUCCGUCCGGAAUCGAGUCCGCUGAUCCGCGGCCGAUCUCAUUUAAGAGAGUGUGUUCGAGGCUUCCAAUUGUUGAAUCGAUGGAGGCUGGCGCUGCGUUCUUCCAUCGGUUCUUCUUUCUUUGUAGUUCACGAUUGAUCAAUUCUUCGUGAGAUUCGUGUGAGCGCAUAUACAUACAGGAGAAAAACAAUUCAUUGUUAGAUUAUUAAUUGAUGAUUGCAAGAAGACAAGAUCAAUCAAUCAAUCUCCUGAUUAGUUUCUUUCCUUUUUGUACGAGGAACAUCUCGUCUUCGCCGUGAAUCGCGUGGUGGCCGAAACUCUAGUAGCCAACUUCUCCAGACUUUUCCCGUCAUCGUCUGCGGCAAUUGCAGAUCGCCGGAGUGGCCUCCUCUGGCCAUAGAGAGGCCUUGCCGUUUGCCGCCGCUGUCGUCGGCAGUCAUGUGGCGGAUUGAAGCGCCGAAGGGCGCCGCUUCGACGCGCCCACAGAGGAGGGCGUCGUCAACCAUGGGGUGCCUCAGCCGCCUGCAUCGCGCGCUGGUGCUGUGCCGCUGGAGCGCUGUCGAGGCCGAGGGUCCUUGUGUCCUUGGGGCCGGAGGGAGUCGCCGCCACAGCCGUGUAUCAGGCCGAUGGUCAGGGACGGUAGUGCCGUCGAGUUCUUGGCCUAAUUGCUCUCUGGAAGAGGCGUGCGUGAUAACUUCUAAAGAUGAAAAGAGAGAGAGGAACGAAUGGAUUGAACAGUGAUUGCAUUGACUGAA